CCUACGGGCGGCAGCAGUGGGGAAUAUUGGACAAUGGGCGAAAGCCUGAUCCAGCCAUGCCGCGUGUGUGAAGAAGGCCUUCGGGUUGUAAAGCACUUUCAGUGGGGAAGAAAGCCUUGGGGCUAAUACCCUCGAGGAAGGACAUCACCCACAGAAGAAGCACCGGCUAACUCCGUGCCAGCAGCCGCGGUAAUACGGAGGGUGCGAGCGUUAAUCGGAAUUACUGGGCGUAAAGCGCGCGUAGGCGGCCUGAUAAGCCGGUUGUGAAAGCCCCGGGCUCAACCUGGGAACGGCAUCCGGAACUGUCAGGCUAGAGUGCAGGAGAGGAAGGUAGAAUUCCCGGUGUAGCGGUGAAAUGCGUAGAGAUCGGGAGGAAUACCAGUGGCGAAGGCGGCCUUCUGGACUGACACUGACGCUGAGGUGCGAAAGCGUGGGUAGCAAACAGGAUUAGAUACCCUAGUAGUC
rnacentral:rRNA from 1 species